GGGACACGACGCAUUUUACUAAUAAACCUAGAGGUUAGCACUAUUGUUUUCAGUACAGCUGACCCUUGGAUUUGCUGUAAAACCAGAAUCAUUAGAAAUGCUCCAUUGGUUAUAUUGGAGCAUUUCUAAUGAAUCAGAGGGUCAGCUCUAUUGAAAUAAUGUAAGAUAUCGAGAUUCAUGGGGAAAACUGCAUUGAAAUGCAUGGAGCGUUUCUAAUAAAUCCAGAUUUUAGUGGAGCUCAACUCUGAAUCCAUUAAUACGUUAUGAAAAAAUAGUUACUGAGCAUGCACCUUAAGUACUUCUGCCUGUGUUAAUCACUCAUUUAUUUUAAAAUGCAUUGUAAAGACAACAAAAGGCACCAGCAGAAGUUUGUUAUUUAAAGUGCACCAUUUCCUCCACUCACACAGGAGCAGAGAUCCACCACUGCAACCAGUAUGAGAGCCCCAGCACCUCACCACGUGCUCCAGUAAGGAGAGCAGUAUCAACUCCUAGGAAAAACAUCCUAGGUGUCAGCAUAAGAGCAUAUCAUUGCUCAAGGACUGCAAAAAGGAAGGUGCAGGUGUUUAUCUGGGUAUUUUAAUGCCAAUUACAUAUGGCAGCUGAAGGCAGUUAAUGACCAUAAGAAGCAGUGGUUCGUGGGUAAAUACCUCCCUUGAAGCGCAUAGUCUCCACCAGCACAGAGGGAUUCCUUCUUGAGAGAAAUGAGCUGGUUUGAUGGAGGGUGCUCAGAUGUAUUUAGUUUGUCCAGCUUAUGGCAGAGCCUGAGUCUGGUGGUUGGACAGGAUCUUAGUGGUGUCAGAAAGGGGCACCUUCACCAAGCAGCAGCCUCAGUGCCAGCUGUGGGUGGGAAGCACCUGUCCCCAGGUGAGCACCCAGGUGCUUCUGCAGUUUACAGAUGCAAUUAAUUACUGGCAGAAAGAAAUCAGUCAGCUUUCCUCUGCAGGUUAGGUAUUCUUAAAUUCCAGUCACAAGGUGAGCAACAGAGUGAGGUUGAUACAGCUAACAAGCUGAGUUGGCUUCUUUUUUUUUUUAACCUUUUACUGUACGCUACUAGCUGGAGCCUGGCAGACUUUUAAGUUUCCAUUAUAGCAUUCAACAGCUGUAGUCUUCUUAUUGUGCACCAAAGAUGGGUUGGCUUUGGUUUAAUGCAAUGGAUUUGUCUAUUCAAUGCUGUCAGCUUGUUACCUCCUUGAAAACAGGUCUGUAGUAAUAAAAAUUAGUUAUUAAUAGCAGCAUGUGAUGGGCUAGGAGACCCAAAACAAACAAAAUAACAGGAGGUUGUUUUAAUUUAUCAUUUCUCAACAUAACAAGAAGAAGCAAAUGUUGGUAGAUUUGUUGUAAGGGCAGGGGUGGGUCAGUGCUUCUCCUGCACUGUGAAGCCCCUCAUCAGAGCAGAACUGAAGCAAUCUUGUCAGGUUUGCACAUGAACCACGUGUGAGAGUUGCUGUGUUGUUUUCAUGAUGCUGAUGCCCACCUCUCACUUUCUGAAGGCAGUGCUUUAUUUUACCUCUUAUCUUCCAGAAUGCUGCUGCUGAAGCGCCUGUAGUGCUGCUGUCCCAGCCUGGGGGAGAGCUGGACCAGUGGCACUGCUGGACCAUGCCCUGCUCUCAGCAGCUGAACUGCAGUAACACCACUAAAAUCUACACCGAACUUCAGAAGUGGAAAUGGAUCUCUUCAUGGGUAUGAGGAAUAAAAAUGGAGAGAUGAUGCAAUUAGUGGUGAAUUCUUCUUAGGGAAACGGCUCAACAGAAACGAGGAACACUUCUGCAAUGGCAGCAUGCUCUGUCCUGCAGGCCUCGUAGCUCUGAGCAGCCUCUCCUCACUCGCUAUGGACGGAAGCAUUUGCCAG